rnacentral:tRNA from 1 species
GCCUGGCUGGCUCAGUUGGAAAAGCAUGGGACUCUUGAUCUCGGGGUCAUGGGUGCAAGCCCCAUAUUGGGUG